rnacentral:lncRNA from 1 species
CUGCGGGCACCGCGUCAGCCUCCCCCCGGCAUGGUGACACCCCUUGGGGACACCCCUUGGGGACACCCCGGUGAUGCCCAUACUCACACAGCACGGCCGCGUAGCCCUGGUGCAUGGUGACGGCGGGGGCGGGCGGUGGCACAGCCUGCAUGGCCCACGGGGGACAGGGGACAGGGGACAGGGGACAGGGGACAGGGGACAGGGGACGGCGCUCGGUGGUUGUCCCCCGACGGCUGCCACCUGCCAUGGGGGUGGUGGGGUCAGGCUCGCAGUGUCCCCGUGCAAUGUCCCCCCUGCUGCGUCCCCACGCGGUGGCCCCCUCCCCACGUGUCCCCAUGUGGGGACUGCGCCGUGUCCCUGCUCAGUGUCCCUGCCAGGUCCCCACGUGGAGCCCAGGCCGUGCUCCCUCGGGGUGUCCCCGUGCCCUAUUCCCAUGCUGUGUCCUGACAUGAUGGCCCCGUGCCCUGUCCCCGGAGUGUGUCCCCUUUCCAUGCCCCCACACAGUGUCCCCAUGCCAUAUCCCCACACGGUGUCCCCAAGCCCUGCCACUGUGCCCUGUCCCCAUGUAGCAUCCCCAUGCCCUGUCCCCACGCAGUGUCCCCAUGCCAUGCACCCACACGAUGUCCCCCCGUCCUGUCCCCACAUGGUGUCCCCAUGUCCUGUCCCCACACCCCUGUGUGGUGUCCCCAUGCCCCAUCCCCAUGCCGUACCCCCAAAAGUGUCCCCAUGCCCUGACCCCACACGGUGUCCCCACGCCAUACCCCCACACGGUGUCCCCAGUCCCUAUCACCGUGCCAUGUCCCCACAUGGUGUCCCCAUGCUCCAUCCCCACGCAGUGUCCCCACACGCUGUCCCCAUGCCGUGCCCCCAUGUGGUGUCCCCGUGCCCUGUUCCCACGCCGUAUCCCCACACGGUGUCCCCACACAUCCCCCUGCCCUGUCCCCACACCUUGUCCCCGUGCCAUACCCCUACAAAGUGCCCCCAUGCCCUGACCCCACGCAGUGCCCCCACG